CUUCUUCUUUAUCCUCCCUACCAACAACAUGAGGGCCAGAGGCAGAGUGACAAUGAGGCGGGAAAAAUCCCGAUCGCGAUACGCGAAUGAAGACAUUUCUAGCCGCGAAGAAUUGGAUCGCAUUUUUUUAAUCCCCCAAUAGUAAAAACGCGCAUGAAGGAAGCCGGAUUACGGACCUUUUACUGUAUAUACACAAAGAUCUUCAAGUACAUGCUACAUCUACCAAUUGACUAAAUUGUUUUAUUGUUGUUAUUUAAAUUAGUCAGACUUAAAAAAAUACGGGUACGAAAACAAAUCAUGUACCUACAGUUUACUUGCAUUUUAUGUUCGUCUGUCUCCAUUACCUACCUACAUUCUGUAAUUCGUUUUUGACUUUUGUAAAAUUAUAAAGGCUACAAUAAAAAUGCAAAAAAUAAAA